GGGUUGUGAGGUUAAGCGACUAAGCGUACACGGUGGAUGCCCUGGCAGUCAGAGGCGAUGAAGGACGUGCUAAUCUGCGAUAAGCGUCGGUAAGGUGAUAUGAACCGUUAUAACCGGCGAUUUCCGAAUGGGGAAACCCAGUGUGUUUCGACACACUAUCAUUAACUGAAUCCAUAGGUUAAUGAGGCGAACCGGGGGAACUGAAACAUCUAAGUACCCCGAGGAAAAGAAAUCAACCGAGAUUCCCCCAGUAGCGGCGAGCGAACGGGGAGCAGCCCAGAGCCUGAAUCAGUGUGUGUGUUAGUGGAAGCGUCUGGAAAGGCGCGCGAUACAGGGUGACAGCCCCGUACACAAAAAUGCACAUGCUGUGAGCUCGAUGAGUAGGGCGGGACACGUGGUAUCCUGUCUGAAUAUGGGGGGACCAUCCUCCAAGGCUAAAUACUCCUGACUGACCGAUAGUGAACCAGUACCGUGAGGGAAAGGCGAAAAGAACCCCGGCGAGGGGAGUGAAAAAGAACCUGAAACCGUGUACGUACAAGCAGUGGGAGCACGCUUAGGCGUGUGACUGCGUACCUUUUGUAUAAUGGGUCAGCGACUUAUAUUCUGUAGCAAGGUUAACCGAAUAGGGGAGCCGAAGGGAAACCGAGUCUUAACUGGGCGUUAAGUUGCAGGGUAUAGACCCGAAACCCGGUGAUCUAGCCAUGGGCAGGUUGAAGGUUGGGUAACACUAACUGGAGGACCGAACCGACUAAUGUUGAAAAAUUAGCGGAUGACUUGUGGCUGGGGGUGAAAGGCCAAUCAAACCGGGAGAUAGCUGGUUCUCCCCGAAAGCUAUUUAGGUAGCGCCUCGUGAAUUCAUCUCCGGGGGUAGAGCACUGUUUCGGCAAGGGGGUCAUCCCGA
rnacentral:rRNA from 1 species